rnacentral:rRNA from 1 species
GGCGGCGUGCUUAACACAUGCAAGUCGAGCGGAAAGGCCCUUCGGGGUACUCGAGCGGCGAACGGGUGAGUAACACGUGAGUAACCUGCCCCUGACUCUGGGAUAAGCCCGGGAAACUGGGUCUAAUACCGGAUACGACACGCUUCCGCAUGGGAUGCGUGUGGAAAGUUUUUUCGGUUGGGGAUGGACUCGCGGCCUAUCAGCUUGUUGGUGGGGUAACGGCCUACCAAGGCGACGACGGGUAGCCGGCCUGAGAGGGCGACCGGCCACACUGGGACUGAGACACGGCCCAGACUCCUACGGGAGGCAGCAGUGGGGAAUAUUGCGCAAUGGGCGGAAGCCUGACGCAGCGACGCCGCGUGGGGGAUGACGGCCUUCGGGUUGUAAACCUCUUUCAGCAGGGACGAAGUUGACGUGUACCUGCAGAAGAAGCGCCGGCUAACUACGUGCCAGCAGCCGCGGUAAUACGUAGGGCGCAAGCGUUGUCCGGAAUUAUUGGGCGUAAAGAGCUCGUAGGUGGCUUGUCGCGUCGGAUGUGAAAGCUUGGGGCUUAACUCCAGGUCUGCAUUCGAUACGGGCUGGCUAGAGGUAGGCAGGGGAGAACGGAAUUCCUGGUGUAGCGGUGAAAUGCGCAGAUAUCAGGAGGAACACCGGUGGCGAAGGCGGUUCUCUGGGCCUUACCUGACGCUGAGGAGCGAAAGCGUGGGGAGCGAACAGGAUUAGAUACCCUGGUAGUCCACGCCGUAAACGUUGGGCGCUAGGUGUGGGGGACCUUCCACGGUUUCCGCGCCGUAGCUAACGCAUUAAGCGCCCCGCCUGGGGAGUACGGCCGC